CCGGCACGGGUGAGUAACGCGUAUCCAACCUGCCGUCUACUCUUGGACAGCCUUCUGAAAGGAAGAUUAAUACAAGAUGGCAUCAUGAGUCCGCAUGUUCACAUGAUUAAAGGUGUUCCGGUAGACGAUGGGGAUGCGUUCCAUUAGAUAGUAGGCGGGGUAACGGCCCACCUAGUCUUCGAUGGAUAGGGGUUCUGAGAGGAAGGUCCCCCACAUUGGAACUGAGACACGGUCCAA
rnacentral:rRNA from 1 species